UAGAUUUGACAUUGAUUGAUCGCUGUAGAAAUACAGUUUUCCUUCGGGACAAGAAAACAGGUGCUGCAUGGCUGUCGUCAGCUCGUGUCGUGAGAUGUUCGGUUAAGUCCGGCAACGAGCGCAACCCGUGUUGUCAGUUGCUACCAGGUAAUGCUGGGCACUCUGGCGAGACUGCCCGUGUUAAGCGGGAGGAAGGCGCGGACGACGUCAAGUCCGUAUGGCCCUUACAUCUAGGGCUGCACACGUGCUACAAUGGGCAUUACAGAGGGUAGCGAAGUCGCGAGGCUGAGCGAAUCCCGAAAAGUGUCCUCAGUUCGGAUAGGAGUCUGCAACUCGACUCCUUGAAGUUGGAAUCGCUAGUAAAGGCGUAUCAGCAACGACGCCUUGAAUACGUUCCCGGGUCU
rnacentral:rRNA from 1 species